rnacentral:rRNA from 1 species
GACGAACCGUGCGAACGUUAUUCGGAAUCAUUGGGCUUAAAGGGCGCGUAGGCGGCGGCGUAAGUUGGAAGUGAAAUCCCAUCGGCUCAACCGUGGAAUCGCUCCCAGUACUGCGUCGCUCGAGGGGGAUAGGGGUCUGCGGAACUACCGGUGGAGCGGUGAAAUGUGUUGAUAUCGGUGGGAACGCCAGUGGCGAAAGCGGCAGACUUGACCCUUCCUGACGCUGAGUGCGCGAAAGCUAGGGGAGCAAACAGG